UCCCGUUCCAAUAAAUUUGCACUCCACGG
rnacentral:sRNA from 1 species